rnacentral:tmRNA from 1 species
CUGCCUUUCGGAGACGGAGCAGGCGAGAUUUAAAAGAAAGGCUAUGCAUGUAGAGGUUCCUGUCGAGUUAUCUUCGGACACGGGUUCGACUCCCGUCGCCUCCACUG